rnacentral:rRNA from 1 species
AGUUUGAUUAUGGCUGGGAUUGAACGCUGGCGGGAUGCUUUUCACACAUGCAAGUCGAACGGCAGCACGGACUUCGGUCUGGUGGCGAGUAGCGAACGGGUGGAGUAAUGUAUCGGAACGUGCCUAGUAGCGGGGGAUAACUACGCGAAAGCGUAGCUAAUACCGCAUACGUUCUCAAAGGGAAAGGGGGACCUUCGGGCCUCGCACUAUUAGAGCGGCCGAUAUCGGAUUAGCUAGUUGGUGGGUAACAGCUCACCGUUAACACAUCCGUAGCUGGUUUGAGAGAGACGACCAGCCACACUGGGACUGAGACACGGCCCAGAUCACAGGAGGCACGCAGUGGGGAAUUUUAACAGGUUAAUGGGGGUCCCUGAUCCAGCCAUCUCAUGUGUGCGAUGAAGGCCUUCGGGUUGUAAAGCACUUUUUGGCAGGAAGAAACGGCACGGGAUAAUACCCCGUGCAACUGAUAUUGCCUGCAGACAAACUACACCAUGCCAGCAGCUGCGUAAUACGUAGGUGCAAGCGUUAAUCGGAAUUACUGGGCGUAAAGCGUGCGCAGGCGGUUCGAAAGAAAGAUGUGAAAUCCCAGUAUUUAACUUUGAACUGCAUUUUUAACUACUGAGCCACGGCCAGAGGGAGAGAACGUACCGUAGCAGUGAAAUGCGUAGAUAUGCGGAGGAACACCGAUGGCGAAGGCAGCCUCCUGGGAUAUCCAUCGUCUCCGGCCCGAAAGCGUGGGGAGCAAAACAGGAUUAGAUACCCUGGUAGUCCACGCCCUAAAACGAUGUCAACUAGCUGUUGGGGCCUUCGGGCCUUGGUAGCGCAGCCAAUGUGAACGCCUGACUGCCUGGGGUAUCGGUCGUAAGAUUAAAACUCGGGGAAUUGACGGGGACCCGCACAAGCGGUGGAUGAUGUGGAUUAAUUCGAUGCAACGCGAAAUGUUCUACCUACCCCUGACAUGUCUGAAUCCCGAAGAGAUUUGGGAGUGCCUGCAAGAGAACCGAACACAGGUGCUGCAUGGCUGUCGUCAGCUCGUGUCGUGAGAUGUUGGGUUAAGUCCCGCAACGAGCGCAACCCUUGUCAUUAGUUGCUACGAAAGGGCACUCUAUCGAGACUGCCGGUGACAAACCGGAGGAAGGUGGGGAUGAUCGUCCUCAUGGCCCUUGCGGGUAGGGCUUCGCCACUGUCAUACAAUGGUCGGGACAGGGUCGCCAACCCGCGAGGGGCGAGCUAAUCCUAGAAACCUGAUCGGUCCGGAUCGCAGUCUGCAACCUCGACUGCGUGAAGUCGGAAUCGCUAGUGCAAUCGCGGAUCAGCACGUCGCGUGAAUACGUUCCCGGGUCUUGUACACACCGCCCGUCACACCAUGUGGAGUGGGUUUUACCAGAAGUAGUUAGCCCAACUGUAAGGAGGGCGAUUACCACGUAGGAUUCAUGACUGGGGUGAAGUCGUAACAAGGUAG